rnacentral:rRNA from 1 species
CAGCAGCCGCGGUAAUACCGGCGGCCCGAGUGGCGGUCACUAUUAUUGGGCUUAAAGCGUCCGUAGCCGGGUUGGGAAGUCCUCCGGGAAAUCUGGCCGCUUAACGGUCAGAAUGCCGGAGGAUACUCCCAGCCUAGGGAGCGGGAGAGGCCGAGGGUAUUCCCGGAGGAGGGGUGAAAUCCUAUAAUCCCGGGAGGACCACCUGUGGCGAAGGCGCUCGGCUGGAACGCGUCCGACGGUGAGGGACGAAGGCCAGGGGAGCAAACCGGAUUAGAUACCCGGGUAGUCCUGGCUGUAAACGAUGCGGACUUUGUGUCGGACAAGCUAUGAGCUUGUCCGGUGCCGGAGGGAAACCGUUAAGUCCGCCGCCUGGGGAGUACGGCCGCAAGGCUGAAACUUAAAGGAAUUGGCGGG